rnacentral:rRNA from 1 species
GACUUCUGGUAAUGUGCCUGGCCCGCGGCUCUUUAGGCCUGUGAGUGCCGGUGCGCGUUUACCAUCCUUCUGGGGAACGGGUCUACCCUUUACUGGGCCGGAUUCGGGAUCCAGAUCAUUUACUUUGAAAAAAUUAGAGUGUUUAAAGCAAGCAAUUGCCAUGAAUACAUUAGCAUGGAAUAAUAAUCUAGGGGUUUCUCUAACUGAAGUAAUGAUUGAUAGGGAUAGUUGGGGGUGCUAGUAUUGGGACUAACUUAUGCGAAAGCAUU